UCUGACUCAGAAAUGAAUUGCAAACACCUGUAGCCUACUUGUCAGACAAGUAAAGAAGAUUUUGCUAAGUCAUUUGGUGCUGCGGUUUUAUCCUAUUUGACUAUAUUUGCAUUGUACAGCUUACUGUAAUCACUUGACAGUUCACAGCCAUCACCAUUCCCCCCUAGCGCACCAUUGUCGCACUACACAUUUCCCUUUCUCUCAUCAUGUAAGUGCUGCCCCCUGUACAACGGCUUGAACCCGGGCUGGUUCCUGACUGUACCGUGUGCUUGAAGGGAGAAAUAUGCCAUUUACAUUUCUGGAUGAAAUCUCUUCUUGGAAUGGUUUACCUCCAGUGAAGGUUGAUGUUUCCUAGUCGGGAACCCRCAGGGUUGCUUUCAAGAUUGACCCCCGACAGCUUGUGGCCUCUGCCAAUCUCCUGAGCGAGCUCCGCCUCCCACCGGACAAGACUGCUCACAAGCUCCCACUGCGUCUGCCUGCGGCAAAGCCCAGCAACCUCCGCGAGGKCCUUGGCCAAUCGCCCYGGAGGAAGGACCUCAURGCCAUGGACACGGAGUCCACCUACUCGGGGUACUCGUACUACUCUGGUCGCUCCCGGGGAUCCCACAGACAUGGGGAGCGCAGCCGCGACCACCACAAGUCACGCAGCAAGGAUGGCAGCCGCUCGGAGAAGUCUGUCACCAUCAACGCACCGCCAGCAGAACCGCUGCUGGGAGACUCGUCGGUACUGGGGGAGGAUGUCCAGGUAGGCCAAUCUCUCCAC